CCUUGGACUCUACGUUUUCGGUCGAUCUCAGCUCCAUCGUCCUCGACGCCAGGGGAAAGACGGUACUCUCUGCUAUCUACACUAGUUUCUCCGAUCCCGUAAUCCCACAUGUUUUUACCUGCCGGCCGGCGGCACGGACACAAGUCAACUCCGGGCUGCUGCUACAAAACUACUCUGCCAGCGGAAAAAGCUGGCGAAACAUUCAGGUGAUUUGGGACUCGGCGACUGCGCUGUGCCAUCGCUGGAAGCUGCUUUGCAAGAAGGUGGCGUUGGAGAUGCUGGAGAACUUCACCAGAGCUAUGGAGCACAGACGUUCCGAUUUGCUGCGAAUCGCCUGGAACUGAAACCACGCUCCGGGACCUGGUCUGUCGAUGAGCUGCGCUACCAACUGGAGAAGACCAACUGGUUUUCGGAGCCUAUCUCUCUCUGAAUUUGAGAAAUCCUGCCUGUAAUGAGCACUUAAACUUGUUUUGACCAUUUUCUGCUGGCCUGUGUGACUCUGCACUGUAACUUGGCAUCUUGGUGACAGCCACUUUGGUCUCAUUUAAUAAAAUGGGGCUGGGGUCUCCCCUACUUUUCUAAAAAAA